UCUCCGUUGGUGAACCAGCGGAGGGAUCAUUACCGAGUUAUCAACUCCCAAACCCCUGUGAACAUACCCAACGCUGCUUCGGCGGGACCGCCCCGGCGCCCUCGGCGUCCCGGAACCAGGCGCCCGCCGGAGGACCCAAACUCUUGUUUAAACCAUAGUGGCAUAUUCUGAGUCUCACAAGAAAAAUGAAUCAAAACUUUCAACAACGGAUCUCUUGGCUCUG
rnacentral:misc_RNA from 1 species